GAUGAACGCUGGCGGCGUGCCUAAUACAUGCAAGUCGAGCGAACAGACGAGGAGCUUGCUCCUUCUACGUUAGCGGCGGACGGGUGAGUAACACGUAGGUAACCUACCUAUAAGCCUGGGAUAACUUCGGGAAACCAGUGCUAAUACCGGAUAAUAUUUCUAACCGCAUGGUUCGAUAGUGAAAGAUGCCAUUGCUACACCUUAUAAUUGUACCUCCGCCGUAUUAGCAAUUUGGUAAGGUAACGGCUUACCAAGGCAACGAUCCGAAGCCGCCCUGAGAGGGUGACCGGCCACACGGGAAUUGAGAACGGCCCCAGACUCCUACGGGGGGAACAAGUAGGAAACCUUCGGAAUGGACCGAAGUCCUAACGGGGAACGGCGGCGGAGGGGAGGAAGGUCUUCGAAUCGUAAAACUCGUUGGUUAGGGAGGAAGAAGGCGGUAAGUAACUGCGCACGACGUGACGGUACCUAACCAGAAAGCCACGGCUAACUACGUG
rnacentral:rRNA from 1 species